rnacentral:sRNA from 1 species
GCUGGGCACGGUGACUCACGCCUGUAAUCCUAGCAGCUCAGGAGGCUGAGGCAGGAGGAUCACAAGUUCACAAUGAGGAUCAGCCUCAU